rnacentral:tRNA from 1 species
GGAUUGUGGCUUAAAGGUAGAGCGCUCGCCUAGCAUGUGUGGGGCCCUGGGUUCGAUCCUCAGCACCA